rnacentral:snRNA from 1 species
AUACUUACCUGGCAAGGGAGAUACCGUGAUCAAGAAGGCGGUUCACCCAGGGUGAGGCUCAGCCAUUGCACUCCGGCUGUGCUGACCCCUGCGAAUUUCCCAAAUGUGGAAAUCUCGAUUGCAUAAUUUAUGGUAGUGGGGGACUGCGUUCGCGCUCUCCGCUG